UACGAAGGGGGCUAGCGUUGCUCGGAAUCACUGGGCGUAAAGGGUGCGUAGGCGGGCCUUUAAGUCUGGGGUGAAAUCCUGGAGCUCAACUCCAGAACUGCCUUUGAUACUGAAGAUCUUGAGUUCGGGAGAGGUGAGUGGAACUGCGAGUGUAGAGGUGAAAUUCGUAGAUAUUCGCAAGAACACCAGUGGCGAAGGUGGCUCACUGGCCCGAUACUGACGCUGAGGCACGAAAGCGUGGGGAGCAAACAGG
rnacentral:rRNA from 1 species